rnacentral:rRNA from 1 species
CCUACGGGUGGCAGCAGUCGAGAAUCAUUCACAAUGGGGGAAACCCUGAUGGUGCGACGCCGCGUGGGGGAAUGAAGGUCUUCGGAUUGUAAACCCCUGUCAUGUGGGAGCAAAUUAAAAAGAUAGUACCACAAGAGGAAGAGACGGCUAACUCUGUGCCAGGAGCCGCGGUAAUACAGAGGUCUCAAGCGUUGUUCGGAAUCACUGGGCGUAAAGCGUGCGUAGGCGGUUUCGUAAGUCGGGUGUGAAAGGCGCGGGCUCAACCCGCGGACGGCACAUGAUACUGCGAGACUAGAGUACUGGAGAGGGGACCGGAAUUCGCGGUGUAGCAGUGAAAUGCGUAGAUAUCGAGAGGAACACUCGUGGCGAAGGCGGGUUCCUGGACAUUAACUGACGCUGAGGCACGAAGGCCAGGGGAGCGAAAGGGAUUAGAUACCCCUGUAGUC